rnacentral:rRNA from 1 species
UACAGAGGUCUCAAGCGUUGUUCGGAUUCAUUGGGCGUAAAGGGCGCGUAGGCGGUGCUCUAAGUCGGAUGUGAAAACUCUGGGCUCAACCCAGAGCCUGCAUCCGAAACUGGAGUGCUAGAGUUCUGGAGGGGGUAGCGGAAUUCCUGGUGUAGCGGUGAAAUGCGUAGAUAUCAGGAGGAACACCGGUGGCGAAGGCGGCUACCUGGGCAGAAACUGACGCUGAGGCGCGAAAGCUAGGGGAGCAAACAGG